rnacentral:tRNA from 1 species
AGAGGCUUAGGAUAAUACACAGACCAAGGGCCUUCAAAAGCCCCCAAGUGGGAGUGAAAAUCUCCCAGCCCCUG